AGUGUCAAGGGAUGGGAAUCGAACCCACGACCUUCCGCUUACCGGGCAGAUGCCAUGACCACUAGGCCACCAGACC